GAUGAGUCGCCAUGUUGAGAGAGUGAGCAUGUUCUCUUAAGGUCAGCGUUUGAUCUCUAUUGAGGGGGGGCAGACUGACUCAACGAAUAGCCACCAACUCCAGGCAUCCCGCUUUUUUCAAAAGGAACUGGGAUUCUAAAACUAAGGGCUUGGAACACUACCACCAGAAUUCUAGAACUGCCCCAGAAGGAUUCUAUUUUCCCUGAGUCGCCCCUCCAAAAAUCAGUCCUCAAUUUUGGCAACUCCUAGUGCUGUCCUGGCCUUCACCCUUAUUCCCCCAAACUUCCCUUUCCCUUAAUUCCUCUAAAAUUCCUCUUCCCCUGGUCAUUUUGAUUAAACUUCUACUUCACAUCACCCCAGCGUCGCUGGCUUCAGACUGGAAGAGUGAAGUCAAAAGAGGGGGGAUGGGGGCUUCCCUGGUGGCGCAGUGGUUAAGAAUCCACCUGCCAGUGAAGGGGACACGGGUUCGAACCCUGGUCCAGGAGAUCCCACAUGCUGCAGAGCAACUAAGCCCGUGUGCCACAACUACUGAGCCCGUGUGCCACAACUACGGAAGCCCGCGCGCCUAGAGCCUGUACCCUGCAACAAGUCACCGCAAUGAGAAGCCCGCGCACUGCAACGAAGAGUAGCCCCCGCUCGCCGCAACUAGAGAAAGCCCACGCGCAGCAACAGACCCAACACAGGCAAAAAUAAAAUAAGUAAAUAAAUAAA